rnacentral:lncRNA from 1 species
AUCUAUUCAGAGUAUCUGUUCAGAGUAUCUGUUCAGAGUAUCUGUUCAAUCUGUUCAGAGUAUCUGUUCAGAGUAUCUGUUCAGAGUAUCUGUUCAGAGUAUCUGUUCAGAGUAUCUGUUCAGAGUAUCUGUUCAGAGUAUCUGUCACUGACGGCUAACAACCUUAAGAUCCAUGUUUUGUCAAUAUUCAGAAAAAAAUAUGUUUUUCUGUUCUGCAACAUAGGCUUAAACUAUAAGUCAAAACAAAAAUGAUAAUUGUAAAAGUGCAAUGCUUUUUAUGGUAUUUGAUGGAGGUGAAACAAAUGAAUAGGUGUUCCAUUUACAUGCUUUGAUAGCUCAAAAUUCGGUCUAACAAAAUAUAUAUUUCACGUGUCAAAUGAGAGUGUCACUUCUUUCAAGAAUCCCUGAGCAUAUACUGUAAAUAAUAAUAAUAAUAGGGAAGGAGGAUGUGGAGGAGGAUGUGGAGGAGGAGGAGGAGGAGGAGGAGGAGGAUGAGGAGGAUGAGGAGGAUGAUGUGGAGGAGGAGGAUGAGGAGGAGGAUGUGGAGGAGGAGGAGGAGGAGGAGGAGGAGGAUGAGGAGGAUGAGGAGGAGGAGGAGGAUGAGGAGGAGGAGGAGGAGGAGGAGGAGGAGGAUGAGGAGGAUGAGGAGGUGGAUGUGGAGGAGGAGGAGGAGGAGGAGGAGGAGGAUGAGGAGGAUGAGGAGGAUGAUGUGGAGGAGGAGGAUGAGGAGGAGGAUGUGGAGGAGGAGGAGGAGGAGGAGGAGGAUGUGGAGGAGGAGGAGGAUGAGGAGGAAGAGGAGGAGGAGGAGGAGGAGGAUGUGGAGGAGGGGGAUGUGGAGGAGGGGGAUGUGGAGGAAGAUGUGGAGGAGGAGGAGGAUGUGGAGGAGGGGGAUGUGGAGGAGGAGGAGGACAAGGAGGAUGUGGAGGAGAAGUAGGUGGAGGAGGAUGUGGAGGAGGACGAGGACAAGGAGGAUGUGGAGGAGGAGGAUGUGAAGGAGGAGGAUGUGAGGAGGAGGAGGAUGUGGAGGAGGAGGAGGAUGUGAGGAGGAGGAGGAUGUGGAGGAGGAGGAGGAGGAGGAUGUGAAGGAGAGCAGGCAGAGAAGAGGAGAAGGGGAGGAAUAGGAGGAGGAGAGGAGGAUGUGAAGGAGGAGGUGGAUGUGGAGGACGAGGUGGAUGUGGAGGAUGUGAGGAGGAGGAGGAGAGGAGGAUGUAGAGCAGGAGGAGGAGGAAAUCAGUGAUAGUAAUGGCGUUACAUGGGUAAGAUGUGUUUCCAUACAGCGGGUACAGCAAUAAAACACUUCACCAGCAGCUUCAGACCAACCUAAUGCCAUACUAGCACACAUAUAGAGACAUUGCAAGAAAACAAGGUGACACGGAAGAAAGUCUCACAAACAAAGUUUUACUCUAUCCCAACAACCAAUGUUCAAAAGUUAAAUUGUUACACGUUCAAAAACCUCUAAGGUAAAUUAUUUUUUAUUUUUUUUAUGGAGCACAAACACAAUUCAUUAUUUUUUGUUGUCGUCGUUCCAAAAUAUACAGCUGACAUGGCAAAACACCGAACUUUCAGUUUAUGAAAAUACAGUUAGUUGUGUUUGUGUGACAGUGCCGUUUCCGUGGUAAUAGCUUCUAACUGGCUUUUUGAUCAAACACAUUAUGGUCUGAAAUCAACACUGUCACAGCAUAGCAUGGUUCUAUUGUAAAAUAACUGGCCUACUAUAGUAUAUUAAUGUUCCUUCUCUAAAAAAAUACAAUAACACGUGCUAUUCUCUGCAAGAUGAAUGUUAGAUAGCUUGAUUUGAAAGUCUUUAUAGCAAUAUAUUUCUUAAAACCAUGUUCGAAAAUAUUUAAAAUAAGACAAAGAAAGGUGUGGUUUGUCCUAGAAAAGGUCUCCUGGCCACCCUCUAGCCGUGAUCAAAACAUCUGAACAAAAUCACAUUUCUAAAAAUGCAUCACAAAUACAUUUUGUGAGGUUGUUUGCUCUUUCACAUUUUUUUGAGGACAGCCCUGGUUGGUGUGUGAUUGUCAUAUUGGUCAAUUGGACCUGUAAGUCUGAGGAACUCCUUCCUUUCCUUCUGAUUAAUACGCCACAAAGCAUUAAGGACCUCAGUAGAUCUCUGACUGGACCUAUUUCUCAUACAGAUAUGGACAGUAUAUGGAAAGUCAGCAUUGGACAUGUGUCACCGUCCCAGCGGACAAAAUGGAUGUUGAAUGUAAACGUUGUCUUGAAAACAAAUUAACAUGAUAAUAAUAAUAUAAUAAUAUUAAUUAAUAAUAAUACGAUGUCAUUAACUGGAUGGUAUGAUGUCAUCAACUGGAUGGUAUGAUGUCAUCAACUGGAUGGUAUGAUGUCAUUAACUGGAUGGUAUGAUGUCAUUAACUGGAUGGUAUGAUGUCAUUAACUGGAUGGUAUGAUGUCAUCAACUGGAUGGUACGAUGUCAUUAACUGGAUGGUAUGAUGUCAUCAACUGGAUGGUAUGAUGUCAUCAACUGGAUGGUAUGAUGUCAUUAACUGGAUGGUAUGAUGUCAUUAACUGGAUGGUAUGAUGUCAUUAACUGGAUGGUAUGAUGUCAUCAACUGUAUGGUAUGAUGUCAUCAAAUGGAUGGUAUGAUGUCAUCAACUGGAUGGUAUGAUGUCAUUAACUGGAUGGUAUGAUGUCAUUAACUGGAUGGUAUGAUGUCAUUAACUGGAUGGUAUGAUGUCAUCAACUGUAUGGUACAAUGUCAUUAACUGGAUGGUAUGAUGUCAUCAACUGUAUGGUACGAUGUCAUUAACUGGAUGGUAUGAUGUCAUUAACUGUAUGGUACGAUGUCAUUAACUGGAUGGUAUGAUGUCAUCAACUGUAUGGUACGAUGUCAUUAACUGGAUGGUAUGAUGUCAUCAACUGGAUGGUAUGAUGUCAUCAACUGGAUGGUAUGAUGUCAUUAACUGGAUGGUAUGAUGUCAUUAACUGGAUGGUAUGAUGUCAUCAACUGGAUGGUAUGAUGUCAUCAACUGGAUGGUAUGAUGUCAUCAACUGGAUGGUAUGAUGUCAUCAACUGGAUGGUAUGAUGUCAUUAACUGGAUGGUAUGAUGUCAUUAACUGUAUGGUAUGAUGUCACUAACUGUAUGGUAUGAUGUCACUAACUGUAUGGUAAGCUCUGUCUGUGACAUCAUACCAUCAUCAACUACCAGACAAUUAUUAGAAGAAAAAAAUUGAUGGAGCAAAUAAAAUCUGUUUAAAAAAAUAAAUUACAAGAUUUAAAAGAAUACAAGAUUUUCUAAAAUCUUAAAACUGUACUUCGAUUGGAUUUAGAGCCCUUAGCUUGACGUUAUAUGUUAUGGGGGUGAUAACAUAACACUGUUAGAAAUCCAAAAUAACCAAAUCAGUCCUAAUUGUAGAUGUUUUUGAGAGGAGUGAUCCAGGUCAAACUAUCAAUUAUCCUGUUGAUAUAGUCCAUGUCAAAUAUUUAUUAUUAAAAACAAUGAUGACAGAAAUAAAAUGUCAUGUACUUUCACCAUCACACACGCAAUCAAACAUACAUGUACGUAUUUAUAAAGAAGCAAGCAAAUGAUUAUUAACAAACAUAAAACAAAAAUCCAUACAUACAAAAGUGUAUACCAAUCAAGAGAAGAGAGGUCACUACUACUGUGGGAAGAGAUAAGAGGUCCCUACUACUGUGGAAGAGAAAAUAGGUUCCUAUCACUGUGGGAAGAGAAAAGAGGUCCCUACUAAUGUGGGAAGAGAAAAGAGGUCCCUACUACUGUGGGAAGAGAAAAUAGGUUCCUAUCACUGUGGGAAGAGAAAAGAGGUCCCUACUAAUGUGGUAAGAGAAAAGAGGUCCCUACUACUGUGGGAAGAGAAAAUAGGUUCCUAUCACUGUGGGAAGAGAAAAGAGGUCCCUACUACUGUGGGAAGAGAAAAGAGGUCCCUACUAAUGUGGGAAGAGAAAAGAGGUUCCUAUCACUGUGGUAAGAGAAGAGAGGUCCCUACUACUGUGGGAAGAGAAAAUAGGUCCCUAUCACUGUGGAAGAGAAAAGAGGUCCCUAUCACUGUGGAAGAGAAAAGAGGUCCCUAUCACUGUGGAAGAGAAAAGAGGUCCCUAUCACUGUGGAAGAGAAGAGAGGUCCCUAUCACUGUGGAAGAGAAAAGAGGUCCCUAUCAUGUGGGAAGAGAAAAGUAUUAAAUAAAUCUCGAGUGACACAGUGGUGUAUAUUGUACAUUGUUGAACACUUGGCAAAAGUUAAAAAUGAACAUAUACAAGGAUAUGGAAGCAAUCAAGACAUCGAGGACAGCUAGUUGAAGAGCACACCUACAUUAGGGUGGUGAGGGUAAGGGUGAGGCUGAGUGGAGUGGAAUGUGAUGGCAGUGGUGUCUACAAUAACAGCACAAGAUGAGGAGUCAUACUGACAGCCUCGGUGGAACAUGCAGUGCACAACACACAAGGUUUAAGGUCCACAAACUACUGACACUUCCAUCAUAGCAGGGGGAGGCCCACUCCAUCAUCAGGCUCAUAGAAACAGAGAGAGAGAGAGAGAGAGAGAGAGAGAGAGAGAGAGAGAGAGAGAGAGAGAGAGAGAGAGAGACAGACAGAGAGACAGAGAGAGAGAGAGAGAGAGAGACAGAGAGAGAGACAGAGAGAGAGAGAGACAGAUAGAGGGAGAGAGAGAGAGAGAGAGAGAGAGAGAGAGACAGAGAGAGAGAGAGAGAGAGAGAGAGAGACAGAGAGAGACGAGAGAGAGAGAGAGGUGGUGGUGGUGGUGGUGGGGGUGGCAUAGCAUACACACCCUUAGAGCAAAGCUUGGUGUAGCUUCCUGUAUUUCAGGUUACAUCAGCUCUGAUGAUGGCUCUUACUGAGCUGGAGCUCCAGAAUGAUUUCAGGGGUUCACACGGACUGCUCCUUAGGGAAGAGGGGCCGUGGCGCCUCGCCCUGACCUUGGCCUUGGGCGGGGUAGCUGGCGGGGUACAGGGGGUUGUUGGAGAGAGGAUGUGUGUAGGGGUUCUGGGGUAAGAAGGUAACAGGAGGGGGGUAGGCCUGAGUUGGUUGUGACUCGAGACAGUGUUCCUUGUUGUAGACUCGAUGGUAGCUCACAUGUUCAGCCGGGUUGGAUGGUUCUUGCCACCCACAGUUCUGUGGAAACAAAGACAGAAUGAAAAACAAACUUUAAGAAAUUAAGAAUCAAUUACAUUAUUUGGAAAACUUUAGAUAAAGAUGGUUUAUUUUUUUACGUCUGUGUAGUAACACUGCUAUUACACUAGUUACAACAUCUUUCCACUAAUGGUAUUUACAGUGU